CUCUGAACUUAAUAACUAAGCCUUAUUCUCAAAUGGACGUUUCAUGAAUAAACUUGAGAAAAAAAUCGAAGAAAUUCUUCUUUUUAUCUAUUUUGGAAAAGUAUAAUAUGAAGCUGGCUUCCGGUCUAGAAUUAGAACGACUGACUUUUUAUAGGAAUGAAACCUACCCUUAAUAUAGUCGUAAUGGAUAUAUUGUCAACUAUCGCUUUUUAUUGUAACUUAACAUGAUUUCCAAUGGAAUUACCAGAAAUUUCACUAAAAUAAAAGAUUUCUG
rnacentral:lncRNA from 1 species